rnacentral:rRNA from 1 species
GCAAGUCGAACGGUAACAGGGUUAGCUUGCUAAUCGCUGACGAGUGGCGGACGGGUGAGUAAUGCUUGGGAACUUGCCUUUGCGAGGGGGAUAACAGUUGGAAACGACUGCUAAUACCGCAUAAUGUCUACGGACCAAACGGGGCUUAGGCUCCGGCGCAAAGAGAGGCCCAAGUGAGAUUAGCUAGUUGGUAAGGUAAAGGCUUACCAAGGCAACGAUCUCUAGCUGUUCUGAGAGGAAGAUCAGCCACACUGGAACUGAGACACGGUCCAGACUCCUACGGGAGGCAGCAGUGGGGAAUAUUGCACAAUGGGGGAAACCCAGAUGCAGCCAUGCCGCGUGUGUGAAGAAGGCCUUCGGGUUGUAAAGCACUUUCAGUUGUGAGGAAAAGUUAGUAGUUAAUACCUGCUAGCCGUGACGUUAACAACAGAAGAAGCACCGGCUAACUCCGUGCCAGCAGCCGCGGUAAUACGGAGGGUGCGAGCGUUAAUCGGAAUUACUGGGCGUAAAGCGCACGCAGGCGGUUUGUUAAGCUAGAUGUGAAAGCCCCGGGCUCAACCUGGGAUGGUCAUUUAGAACUGGCAGACUAGAGUCUUGGAGAGGGGAGUGGAAUUCCAGGUGUAGCGGUGAAAUGCGUAGAUAUCUGGAGG